AACGAACGCUGGCGGCAGGCUUAACACAUGCAAGUCGAGCGCCCCGCAAGGGGAGCGGCAGACGGGCGAGUAACGCGUGGGAAUCUACCCAUCUCUACGGAAUAACGCAUGGAAACGUGUGCUAAUACCGUAUACGUCCUUCGGGAGAAAGAUUUAUCGGAGAUGGAUGAGCCCGCGUUGGAUUAGCUAGUUGGUGGGGUAAAGGCCUACCAAGGCGACGAUCCAUAGCUGGUCUGAGAGGAUGAUCAGCCACACUGGGACUGAGACACGGCCCAGACGCCUACGGGAGGCAGCAGUGGGGAAUAUUGGACAAUGGGCGCAAGCCUGAUCCAGCCAUGCCGCGUGAGUGAUGAAGGCCCUAGGGUUGUAAAGCUCUUUCACCGGUGAAGAUAAUGACGGUAACCGGAGAAGAAGCCCCGGCUAACUUCGUGCCAGCAGCCGCAGUAAAAC
rnacentral:rRNA from 1 species